UACGUAGGCAGCGAGCGUUGUUCGGAGUUACUGGGCGUAAAGGGUGCGUAGGCGGUUUUCCAAGUUUGGUGUGAAAUCUCCCGGCUUAACUGGGAGGGUGCGCCGAAAACUGCAAGGCUCGAGUGCUGGAGAGGAGAGCGGAAUUCCUGGUGUAGCGGUGAAAUGCGUAGAUAUCAGGAGGAACACCGGUGGUGUAGACGGCUCUCUGGACAGUCACUGACGCUGAGACACGAAAGCGUGGGGAGCAAACAGG
rnacentral:rRNA from 1 species